rnacentral:rRNA from 1 species
UACGUAGGGGGCAAGCGUUGUCCGGAUUUAUUGGGCGUAAAGAGCGUGUAGGCGGCUAGGUAGGUCCGUUGUGAAAACUCGAGGCUCAACCUCGAGACGCCGGUGGAAACCAUCUAGCUAGAGUCCGGAAGAGGAGAGUGGCAUUCCUGGUGUAGCGGUGAAAUGCGCAGAUAUCAGGAAGAACACCCGUGGCGAAGGCGGCUCUCUGGGACGUGACUGACGCUGAGGCGCGAAAGCGUGGGGAGCAAACAGG